GACGAACGCUUGCGGCGUGCCUAAGAAAUGCAAGUCGAGCGAGGUUAGAGAGCUUGCUCUCGAAGCCUAGCGGCGAACGGUCGCGUAACACGUAAGCAACCUGCCCCAAAGACCGGGAUAGCCCGCCGAAAGGUGGAUUAAUACCGGAUGUGGAAGCGGAUUCGCAUGUAUCUGCUUUUAAACCAGGCAACUGGCUUUGGGAUGGGCUUGCGGCCUAUCAGCUAGUUGGUGGGGUAAUGGCCUACCAAGGCGACGACGGGUAGCUGGUCUGAGAGGAUGGUCAGCCGGACUGGGACUGAGACACGGUCCAGACUCCUACGGGAGGCAGCAGUGGGGAAUUUUGGACAAUGGGCGCAAGCCUGAUCCAGCAAUGCCGCGUGCAGGAUGAAGGCCUUCGGGUUGUAAACUGCUUUUGUACGGUACGAAAAGGCUACUGGUUAAUACCUGGGGCUCAUGACGGUACCGUAAGAAUAAGCACCGGCUAACUACGUGCCAGCAGCCGCGGUAAAACCG
rnacentral:rRNA from 1 species